GUGACUCCUCCCCAGCCUUUUUCCCUUCCCGUUUGCUUCCUCUUCGGCGCCGCCAGGGAGUCCUCCCUUCCCCUAUGCUGCCUCUCACUUUCCUCCUGCUGAUCUGAGCGCUAGGUGUUGGAGGCCCCCAUUUUCUUUGGUGACCAGCGUGUAUAGGUAUGGUUCUGUCAGUUUUUUUGAUUUUUUUCAGUUGCAGUGCUUGAUUUUCGGCGUCAUUAUGAAGUGCCUUAGAGGCCGGAUCAGCCCUGGUUUCUAUAGAGCGUUUUCUAGUAUGUUAGAUUACCUUUCCAAGGAUGGUUUAUUUGCGCAGUUUGGAUGAGUGGUUUAAGAGUUAUAGGCUUCCGAAGUCAGGUGUCUCAUCCUGUCAAAUUACAGUUUCAGACGUAUUUCAGUGCCACUUUCAGUUUUGCAAUGCAAUUUAAAAUAUGCUGCAGGCAGAAUCAAGCCCUAUUUCUAUGGAGUGUGAUGUAGUGGGAUAGUUGUUCUUUCCCCAGGUAGCUUAAUCACCCAAUUUGGAUAAUUGGUCUGAGAGUUAUGAUUUUUCCAAAACAGCAAUGUUGCUGUCAUGAACAGAUUGACUCUGCAACUUUGUAGCGAGGAUUAGACAUAGAAGAUGGUGGAAUUUGGAUUCGGACUGAAUACAAAAGUUGUAGCUUGUGAACUGUAGAUGCUCCUAGAGUCCUCAUUAUUAUUGUAGCUAUUACAAAAUUAAAGAUACAAAAAAGAUAACUGCAGCUGCUGUUUUGGGGUUCCCUAGGGAUUAAUAGCCGGCUGUCGGAAUGGACCGUAGGGAUGAUGCGCUGUUUUCUUGUGCUUGAUAUUUGAAGUGUUUGUAAUGAAUUGUAUUCUCCGAACAGGUGGUAGUGCUCCGGAUCAGACUUGAGUCCCUCUUGCUUGCUUCGUCGGUUAAGGCAAGUGGAUUUGUAGCUGUGGUUGGCUACGCUUUGCCUUGCUAUUUUUAUCAUCAAAAGUUAAUAUUUGAAGUUCAUAUGAUUCUAUACAUAUUCUCAAUCGUAUUUAUAAUUCAUCUAUCCUGAGAAGUGAACCAUGAAGACUUAUAAUUGAGUAAGUUUUAUGUGGAAAUCCACAUAUUUGAAUUUGAAAGUAUAUUAAUGUUGCAGCAUUACAUAAGCAUCGCAUUAUGCAUUUGCAUUGAAGUAUGUCGUGAUCUUAUGAUCCGACUUGUACCGGUACAGCAUCUUCGGAUGCAGCUCCAUACCUUGUUGGGUAUGCGGACAGAAGGAAGUGCAUGGCAUUCAAUAUGCAUCCAUAUUAUUGAAGUUGAAUUGAAGUUUAUCGUCUUGAUUUUAUAUGUUGAAUGCAAAUCAUUGCUAAGUAAAUUUGUUUUUUUUAAAAUAGCUUGUCGAAACAGUCCACUUGUGGAGAUGUUUCAUCUCACUCCUUGUAUAUUCACUUUUUUCAGGUGUUUGAUGCUUAUUCUUGUGGGAAGGGAGAGUAGCAGCACGUCUACACUUCAUCUUUUAGAAAUCCUUUUAUAGCAUCUAGUUAGUGUAAUAAUCAGUUUGGUUAAGAACAACUUAAAGUUGUGUUCGCUGCCGGUUCUAUUCUUUUAGUUUUUCAUUUUCGUUCAGGGGUGCUAUCCAUGCUAGCUUGUUCCUUAUAUUGAUCUAUUUGUGUUUGCUUCCGCGAUAGCUCUAGUUUCAAAGGAGAUGCUGCCAUUUUUUUUUUCAUCUCUUUAGUGUUGUUGCUUGUGUAGUUUAGUAGCUCUUCGGGUGUUAUAGGAGGCAUCAGAAAAAGAGCAAAAAGAAGAGCUGGAAAGGAGGCGCGCUGCUCAGCACAAGGAGGAGAGGGAACACAGGCUGGAGCAUGUUCGUCAUGCGAAGACAGCAAUGGAGGAGAAUCCAGAUGCACUGAGAAAGGGAAAAUGGUCUCGUUGCAUUUAGUAGUAUGCAAGAUUUGCUAGUUGUAUGACUUAUUUAUGUAAUGAAUUUGUCAUUGUGUUCUCG
rnacentral:lncRNA from 1 species